rnacentral:rRNA from 1 species
UACGUAGGGGGCAAGCGUUGUCCGGAUUCACUGGGCGUAAAGCGCGUGUAGGCGGCCUCGCCAGUCGGGUGUGAAAGCCCGGGGCUCAACCCCGGGAUGCCGCUCGAAACUGCGGGGCUUGAGGACGGAAGAGGGGAGUGGAAUUCCUGGUGUAGCGGUGAAAUGCGUAGAGAUCAGGAGGAACACCCGUGGCGAAGGCGGCUCCCUGGUCCGUUACUGACGCUGAGACGCGAAAGCGCGGGGAGCGAACGGG